UACAGAGGGGGCGAGCGUUGUUCGGAAUUACUGGGCGUAAAGGGCGCGUAGGCGGCCUCUUAAGUCAUACGUGAAAUCCCUCGGCUCAACCGGGGAACUGCGUGUGAUACUGAUUGGCUUGAAUUCGGGAGAGGGAUGCGGAAUUCCAGGUGUAGCGGUGAAAUGCGUAGAUAUCUGGAGGAACACCGGUGGCGAAGGCGGCAUCCUGGACCGAUAUUGACGCUGAUGCGCGAAAGCCAGGGGAGCAAACGGG
rnacentral:rRNA from 1 species